CGAGCUCAGCGUGCAAAACUUUCGUUUAGGUCAGCUGUUUGGCCGACCGCUCCAUGCUGUUUUGUUCGUUCGGCUCGCGUCAAAU
rnacentral:pre_miRNA from 1 species